GCCUUUAUAGCUCAACGGUAGAGCGAGGUACUGUUAAUACCUUGAUGAAUGUUCGAUUCAUUCUAAGGGCU